ACGAACGCUGGCGGCGUGCUUUAGGCAUGCAAGUCGAACGCGAAAGCCCCUUCGGGGGUGAGUAGAGUGGCGAACGGGUGAGUAACACGUGGGUAACCUGCCCCUCGCAGGGGGAUAACCGGGGGAAACCCCGGCUAAUACCCCGUACGCUUGCUGGGGCGCAUGCUCCGGCAAGGAAAGGUAGCUUCGGCCAUCCGGCGAGGGAGGGGCCCGCGGCCCAUUAGCUAGUUGGUGGGGUAACGGCCCACCAAGGCGACGAUGGGUAGCUGGCCUGAGAGGGUGGUCAGCCACACUGGGACUGAGACACGGCCCAGACUCCUACGGGAGGCAGCAGCCAGGAAUCUUGCGCAAUGGGCGAAAGCCUGACGCAGCAACGCCGCGUGGGCGAUGAAGGCCUUCGGGUCGUAAAGCCCUGUUGUCGGGGACGAAGGGCGAAGGGUUAAUAGCCCCUAGCCUGACGGUACCCGACGAGGAAGCCCCGGCUAACUACGUG
rnacentral:rRNA from 1 species